GAUAUUGCACAAUGGGGGAAACCCUGAUGCAGCGACGCCGCGUGAGGGAAGAAGGUUUUCGGAUUGUAAACCUCUGUCAUGUGGGACGAUAAUGACGGUACCACAUGAGGAAGCCACGGCUAACUACGUGCCAGCAGCCGCGGUAAUACGUAGGUGGCAAGCGUUGUCCGGAAUUACUGGGUGUAAAGGGAGCGUAGGCGGGAAUGCAAGUUGAAUGUUUAAACUAUCGGCUCAACCGGUAGUCGCGUUCAAAACUGUAUUUCUUGAGUGAAGUAGAGGCAAGCGGAAUUCCUAGUGUAGCGGUGAAAUGCGUAGAUAUUAGGUGGAACACCAGUGGCGAAGGCGGCUUGCUGGGCUUUUACUGACGCUGAGGCUCGAAAGCGUGGGUAGCAAACAGG
rnacentral:rRNA from 1 species